rnacentral:rRNA from 1 species
UACGGGGGGGGCAAGCGUUGUUCGGAAUUACUGGGCGUAAAGGGCUCGUAGGCGGCCAACUAAGUCAGACGUGAAAUCCCUCGGCUUAACCGGGGAACUGCGUCUGAUACUGGAUGGCUUGAGUUUGGGAGAGGGAUGCGGAAUUCCAGGUGUAGCGGUGAAAUGCGUAGAUAUCUGGAGGAACACCGGUGGCGAAGGCGGCAUCCUGGGACGUUACUGACGCUGAGACGCGAAAGCGUGGGGAGCAAACAGG